rnacentral:rRNA from 1 species
UACGUAGGUGGCAAGCGUUGUCCGGAUUUACUGGGCGUAAAGAGCGCGCAGGCGGUCGUUCAAGUCGCGUGUGAAAGCCCCCGGCUCAACUGGGGAGGGUCACGCGAUACUGAUCGACUCGAAGGCAGGAGAGGGUAGUGGAAUUCCCGGUGUAGUGGUGAAAUGCGUAGAUAUCGGGAGGAACACCGGUGGCGAAGGCGGUUCUCUGGGCAUGACCUGACGCUGAGGAGCGAAAGUGUGGGGAGCGAACAGG